rnacentral:lncRNA from 1 species
UUUUUUUUUUUUGAAGUUUGCCCCAGUGUGAAAGUCUCUCUGUAAGUCAAAACCUUAGCAUUAUUUUAAUGUACUGUGCUGUAUUUAAUAAUCUUAUGCUUCAGACAUUAGUCUGUUACCAUGGGAAUGACAGCAGCAUAAAUACAGGAUUAUGGCUAUCAAGCAGGAGAAAAGAAAUUAUGAAUAAGCCUCGUUAUGUUCAAUAAUUAGCAGCUACAUGGAAAAAAACAAAACCAUGAAUUUAGGUUGAUGCAUUUAUCUCAGUGUUUGAAUACAACUCUGAGUGUGUUAUUGCUUUAAAAUGAGAUUCUAACAAACUGCCAAAAACUUCUUGACUAGCAGUUGUUACUCAGUGCUAUAAUUUAAAAAUUCAUCCUGUCCAUCUCUUUUUUCUCCUAUUUAUAUUCUUCCCCAGCAGAAGAUUGGUAACUAAUGGGUAAUACACAACAUUCCAAGAUAGAUUCUGGUAUCUUGAGCCAACAUAUCAGGAGAAUGGUACAGAAAAACUGAACAUUACCAGCCCCUCUACCUUAGCUAACUGCAAAAUGAACAACUUCCAAGGACUUGCUGCUACUCUCCCACAAAAUGAAAAGUCUAUGUAUCAAGAUGUAGAAUAGUACAGCUAAGCACAAGGCUCCUCCCCAGUCAAAGAGGAGCAGAGAGUGAAGAUCACUAUCAGUCUUCUUUCUUUGAGUUUCAGUCUCAUCAUCUUUGA